GGUUGACCUCGGAUCAGGUAGGAAUACCCGCUGAACUUAAGCAUAUCAAUAAGCGGAGGAAAAGAAACCAACAGGGAUUGCCCCAGUAACGGCGAGUGAAGCGGCAAGAGCUCAAAUUUGAAAUCUGGCCUCCCCUGGGGGCCCGAGUUGUAAUUUGCAGAGGAUGCUUCGGGUGCGGCCGCCGUCUAAGUUCCUUGGAACAGGACGU
rnacentral:rRNA from 1 species